rnacentral:rRNA from 1 species
GAAUUCGCCCUUAGAGUUUGAUUCUGGCUCAGGACGAACGCUGGCGGCGCGCCUAACACAUGCAAGUCGAACGGGACUAUGCUGGAAGAAGUUUUCGGAUGGAUUUUGGUAUAGUUUAGUGGCGGACGGGUGAGUAACACGUGAGCAACCUGCCUUCGAGAGGGGAAUAACGGCUGGAAACGGUCGCUAAUACCGCAUAAUAUACAGGAGGGACAUCCCUUUUGUAUCAAAGAUUUAUCGCUCGAAGAUGGGCUCGCGUCCGAUUAGGUAGUUGGUGAGGUAACGGCCCACCAAGCCGACGAUCGGUAGCCGGACUGAGAGGUUGAACGGCCACAUUGGGACUGAGACACGGCCCAGACUCCUACGGGAGGCAGCAGUGGGGGAUAUUGCACAAUGGGGGAAACCCUGAUGCAGCGACGCCGCGUGUGGGAAGACGGUCCUCUGGAUUGUAAACCACUGUCCCCAGGGACGAAGAUGACGGUACCUGGGGAGGAAGCUCCGGCUAACUACGUGCCAGCAGCCGCGGUAAUACGUAGGGAGCAAGCGUUGUCCGGAAUUACUGGGCGUAAAGGGAGCGUAGGCGGGAUGGCAAGUUUGGGUGUUAAAUCUACCGGCUUCAACUGGUAGUCGCACUCAAAACUGCUACUCUUGAGUGAAAUAGAAGGCAAGCGGAAUUCCUAGUGUAGCGGUGAAAUGCUUAUAUAUUUGGAAAAACACCAGUGGCCGAAGGUUGCCGCCUGGCCUGUUGCUGACUCUAAGGCACCAAUACGUGGGGAGCAAAUAGGAUUAGAUACCCUAGUAGUUCACGCCGUAAACGAUGAGGACCAAGUGUUGGGGGUGAAACCUCAGUGCUGAAGUUAACGCAGUGAGUCCUCCGCCUGGGGAGUAUGCACGCAAGUGUGAAACUCAAAGGAAUUGACGGGGGCCCGCACAAGCGGUGGAGUAUGUGGUUUAAUUCGAAGCAACGCGAAGAACCUUACCAGGCCUUGACAUGGGAUGCGAAGAUGCAGAGAUGCAUCGGAGGUCAACAUCCACACAGGUGGUGCAUGGUUGUCGUCAGCUCGUGUCGUGAGAUGUUGGGUCAAGUCCCGCAACGAGCGCAACCCUUGUGGCAUGUUGCUAACAGGAAAAGCUGAGGACUCAUGCCAGACUGCCGGUGACAAACCGGAGGAAGGCGGGAAUGACGUCAAAUCAUCAUGCCCCUUAUGGCCUGGGCUACACACGUAUUACAAUGGCGGCUACAAAGAGCAGCGAGACAGGGAUGUCGAGCGAAUCUCAUAAAAGCCGUCCCAGUUCGGAUUGGAGGCUGCAACCCGCCUCCAUGAAGUUGGAAUCGCUGAGUAAUCGUCGGAUCAGCAUGCCGCGGUGAAUACGUUACCGGGCCUUGUACUCACCGCCCGUCA